rnacentral:rRNA from 1 species
AACGAACGCUGGCGGCAGGCUUAACACAUGCAAGUCGAGCGAGACCUUCGGGUCUAGCGGCGGACGGGUGAGUAACGCGUGGGAACGUGCCCUUCUCUACGGAAUAGCCCCGGGAAACUGGGAGUAAUACCGUAUACGCCCUUUGGGGGAAAGAUUUAUCGGAGAGGGAUCGGCCCGCGUUGGAUUAGGUAGUUGGUGGGGUAAUGGCCCACCAAGCCGACGAUCCAUAGCUGGUUUGAGAGGAUGAUCAGCCACACUGGGACUGAGACACGGCCCAGACUCCUACGGGAGGCAGCAGUGGGGAAUCUUAGACAAUGGGGGCAACCCUGAUCUAGCCAUGCCGCGUGAGUGAUGAAGGCCUUAGGGUUGUAAAGCUCUUUCAGCUGGGAAGAUAAUGACGGUACCAGCAGAAGAAGCCCCGGCUAACUCCGUG